AUCGCAGGAUAAUUCCUUCCAUCAAGUUUCUAUGCACUGCUUCAUAAUCCAACAAACAUCAUUUAAAUUCGUAAGUUAAAGUUAACAUUAAUAUAUUUUUCUGUUUUACGUAGCUGUUUUUUUUUCUUGAUAAUGUUAUGGGUCAUUUAUAUUUCAUCAUUCGAAAAUUAUCUUCAAUUCGGCUGAGAAUGAUGCUGUUGUCUGCCUGUGUGUAUCACAGGCUAUUUUUGUUAUUCUUCUUAUUAUUUUGUGCCUCUCAGACCCAAAAUUAGAAUAUAUUAUUAUCCUCAGGGGAUAUCAAUUAUUAAUUUCCCCCCUAAUGUAUCAUAUCAUUCACAGCACUAUACUGACUCCUGAUCAAGGUCUUCAAGCUCUUAAUCUAAACCAUUUCCAUGUAUUAUUCUUGCUCUUUUCAGAGUAUUGAAUUCACAGUCACUUGCCCAUCUGCCAAAAACGGGGUUCAAUGAUGUUGAAAGAAUUGUGGCUGAGUUUUCAUACACGUAACGUUCCAAACAUGACAAAGGCUACAAGUUCUUCAUUAAACAAAAAUAAAAAAAAUAAAACACAACAUCACAAAUGCUUUAUUUGACUACAGGAAUACAAUUCAUCAAUCAUAGUAUAGUAUGAUAUCAAAUGCCAUAGUAUAGUAUGAUAGAAAUGUCAUUGUAAAGUAUGAUAAAAUGUCACAGUAUAGUAUGUUAUAAAACAUUAUAGUAUUGUGUGAUUUAAAAUAUCUAAGUAUAGUAUGAUAAAAAAAAUGUUGCAUCAUAGUGUGUCAUAUGGAAUGAUAUAAAUGUCAGAAUAGAAUGAUAAAGAAUGUUAUAGUAUGAAAAAAAUGUCAUAGUUCAGUAUGAUAAAAAAUGUCAGUACAGUAGGAUACAAAAAUCAUAGUAUAGUAUUAUAGAAAUAUCGUAGUAUGGUAUGUUAAAUUAUGUCAUAAUAUAUUUAAUUAAAAAAAUUCAUAGUUUAUGUAAAAUAAUUUCAUAUUAUAGAAUGAUAAAGAAAAGCCAUAGUAUAGUAUAAAAAUAUCAAAUUAAAGUAUGAAAAAAAAUCAUUGUUUUAUAUGAUAAAAAUAUCAUAGUUUGGUUUCAUGAAAAAGUCAAAGUAUAGUAUGAUAAAAAUGUUAUAAUGUAGUGUGAUAAAAAAUGUCAGAGCAUAGUAUGUUGAAAAAUGUCGUAGUUUUGUAUGAUAAAAUGUUAUAGUUAAGUAUGAUAAAAAUGUCAGUAACGUAGGAUUAAAAAAUCAUAGUUAAGUAUGAUUAAAAAAAUGUUACAUUACAGAUUGAUAAAAAAAAUGUCAUAGUAUAGUAUUUGUGAUGGCCAUGUGUAGUGGUUGCUUGGCACUGCUGUCUUUCUUUGGUUUUAGGCAAUGACUCCAUCUGGUGGUGGUCCGCUCUGGUUAUCUUUCCCUGCAGUUUGAAGGCAGAUCAUUUCCUGAUUGCUGACUGGCUACACCUGUACAGAGAGGGAUAAAAGCCAGGGUUUCUCAGGAGUUUUCCUCUCUCUUCCCUUGGACUGGGAACUCAAAACACCCAUUAUGUUUGGUCUGUGUUUUUGUGGAAAAUAAAUGUUAUGUUUGCUUCAAAACCUACUGUGUGGACUUCCCUUCCUAGUUAUGAGCUAAACCACCUGGCCAUAACAGUAUGAUAAAG
rnacentral:lncRNA from 1 species